UUUUGGAAUAAGGGCUGGGCAAGACCGGUGCCAGCCGCCGCGGUAACACCGGCAGCCCAAGUGGUGGCCAUUUUUAUUGGGCCUAAAGCGUUCGUAGCCGGCCUGAUAAGUCUCUGGUGAAAUCCCGCAGCUUAACUGUGGGAAUUGCUGGAGAUACUAUCAGGCUUGAGGUCGGGAGAGGUUAGAGGUACUCCCAGGGUAGGGGUGAAAUCCUAUAAUCCUGGGAGGACCACCUGUGGCGAAGGCGUCUAACUGGAACGAACCUGACGGUGAGUAACGAAAGCCAGGGGCGCGAACCGGAUUAGAUACCCGUGUAGUCC
rnacentral:rRNA from 1 species